AUGGUCCGUCCCCUCAGAGUGCUGCUCCCCUCUCUCCUGCAUGUUGCCAUUCUCUCUGUCAAAGGAAUUCUGCACAGGGGUGGCAGAAGCCUGUUUGCCUCCUUGGCCUUCCGAGCAUGUCCUCCUGUCUUGCUCCACUUUGAAAGCAGAGAAGGACAUCCCUUGUUUCAAGGACUAAGAGUGUCACAAGGGCAGGCCCGUGUCUUUGGUCUUCAUCAGGCUUCUCUGCUUCUAGUAUGUAAUAGUAGCAAUUUUUAUUCUCAUGCCACCAUUACCCCAUUUGGGAAGAAGACAACUGAGUGACUAAAAGGUUAAGAAUCUUACCUAAGGUUACACAGUUGGUAAGUGCUGAACUGGGAUUUCAAGUUUUACUACUGUUUUUUUCUUGGCAUGUUACCUCUGACAGUGCCAGUCCCUAACCGAUUCUUGAUAUAAGGAUGAAUCACACGUAGACCAACAGCAGUUGCUUGAUAAAUACUUGGGGGACGGUGGUGGCAGUAGUAAUUCCGGUUAAUGAGAGUAGGAUUGCUUAUCCAGCUGAGGAUUUGGGCAAGAGAAGAAACAUUUACUGACUUGGCAGCGCAUUUGGAUUUUUCACAUAGGCUGGAAGGAGUAUCGCUCCUGUCAUGGCAGAGCCCCCUGCUGAGGAGGACAGAGCAACUCUGGGAGAGGACACACGGACAGGCAGGAGGGCAUCUAAGCAGAGUCCUGAAGAAACUAGAACCAACGAGGAAGAGAACACAGAGAAGCUGACGGCCCCCAGAUCCUGUCCUGCGAGAUGUGCUCAAGUUGAUCGGCAGAUGGGCAGCUAGUUUUUAAAACAAUCUUGUUUGUGAAGUAAAGUAAUGGUGCUAUCUAAAUGUUCAUGAAGUUCUGGCUUCUCAUUUAUUCCCUCUCAACCCGUGAGACCCAGAAUUCCCCAAAUGUGAGUGUCCAGAUGUUAGUAUGGCUUGCACAGUUUUACCAACACUACAGAAAAUCAAGCCUGGUAAAGGUUGACAAAAUCAGAGAGCUGUGAAUGACACGAUAUUAAGAGCGAACUUCACAAGUGACUGGUACCUAGUAAUAAUGAAAGGUGUUGUUUUCAAAUGUAUUUCUUCAGUCUCAUCGUUUUCAGUAGACUGUUUUCCUUGGAAUUGUUCACAUGUUCUCAUGUGUCACAGUGUUCUCACAUGGUUCUCAUGUGAGGCAGAGAUCCCAGAUAGAGUUUCAGGCCAUCUUGUCUAUGCUGUGUCCAGUCUGAUUAGAUGUAGGGCUGGGUUAUGUCCAGUCCAGAGGCCAUAUAAUCAUUUGGUCUGGUCCUACCAAGACAACCAAAGAUGGGACUCAAAAAUCAGUAAAUCAAUAGUAGGCUAAUUUCUAAGCUGAAAAUUCCAGAUGGCCCACGAAAUGAUGUUACAAAUAUCCAGGUGGCUCUUUGCAGAAGAAAGCUUCCCCACCCCUGGUUGGGUGGUACAGGCAGACACCCUGCAGCAGCAGGCUUAGUUGGGCCAAUCACUCUGAUCCAGGAAAGGUGCCUCAAAGCACCUGCUGAAGAAAGUUUUAUGUUGUAAAGGAAAUACCCAUGUGAAAAGCAGAAAAGAAAGUCGUCCUACUGGGUCGAGUGGCGGUUUUGUUUACAAUGGUUUUGGUUUCCAGUGGGAGCAGCUUUUUAUUAUGUAACUAAAGUAGUAUGUAAUCUAGCAAGUGAAUAUUUUAAUUAGCCAAUUCAUAAUGGGUGCGAGGUUACCAGUGGGGUACGUCCAGUUACCUUCUGGCUGAAAUUUUUAGGACACGGGCUGCUGACAGUUGAAAUUGCUUCAAUACAAGGUGGCUUUGAUGGAGGGUGACCUUACAACUCAACAUAUUUAAUCACAAAUGUAACUGAUAUGUGAGCUUGCCCUCCUCCCUGGUAGGCAAGAGUCGCGAAAUCACCAUGUAAUGUUCCACAGCGCUGCCCCAUGGGCUGUCCUGUUUUCAGAGGCAAGAAGCUACUGCUGAGGAGGACUUUGAAGAUUUUAGGCAGAGCUCCCUGUGGACCCCCACGGCGAAGUUAGCAGCAUUAUCCUGCCUUUGAGCAAAGGGUCAAUAGCAUUGGUUAAUUUAAGAACUUCAUUCUCCUGAGUAACCAGCUGGAACACACUAAACAAGUUCCCAAGAUCACAAAGUGCAGUCCGUGAAACACCAGAGAGGCUGAUGAUGGAAACAAGUGACUGUCCAACUCUACAUUCCUGCAGGAUCCUCCAGGCGACCUGUCCAAGGGCCUUGAGGAAGACAAUGGCACCCACCUUGAGUAUGCUCCUACUUCCCUUCUGGCCAAACUUCACCGAGUGCAGGAGUAAUGGUUAGGGGGUGGGGGUGAAGGGUCACCAUUUUAGUUGCCUAUUAGACUUCUACAGAGAAAGUUCUGUGCCCUCUUUAGGAAAAAAAAGCUGCUUCCUGAAAGGCAUGUUAAAAAGCCCAACCCCUCCUCUUCACCCCCUCCCCCUCGGCCUCCAAGAGGACUGUUUAACAUAAUGAGCGGCAGUUUGUUGCUGUGCCUGCUAUAGGUUGUGUUUAAAUUCCUGGUUUCUAUCUUAUUUACUGAUUGAGGGGAACUUGACUUCACAGACCUUCCUCCCUGACCAUCCAUCCCUCUCCCGGAGGAGUGAAUCAUUUGACACAGCGGACAUUCGACAACACGUUUGCUUCCUUGUUAAAUCCCGUUUGGCCAAGUCUCCCAGCGGCUGCGCAGCACCCCCAGGGUCUCGUCUGCAUUGUGUCUUAUCGGAGCCACCUGAAGAGCCGGCCACACAGGGUGGCCUUCCUUAAUUUAAAAUCCACUCACAAGAGGAAAAAAAAAAAUUCUUUUUUGUCUACAAACUCCAGCAUAGGACAAAAGGCAUGCAUGUGGCUUUAUUAUUUUGUUUUGUUUUUGUUACUUUUCUUCUCAAAUCUGGCUCCUUGUUUUUAACUAAAUAAACAAAAAGGCUCCAGGUUACUCUCGAAGAGA
rnacentral:lncRNA from 1 species